rnacentral:rRNA from 1 species
UACGGAGGGUGCAAGCGUUAUCCGGAAUCACUGGGUUUAAAGGGCGCGCAGGCGGCACUGUAAGUCAGGGGUGAAAGCCUGCAGCUCGACUGUGGAAUUGCCUUUGAUACUGUGGUGCUAGAAUGAGAUUGAGGUAAGUGGAAUGUGGGAUGUAGCGGUGAAAUGCAUAGAUAUGCGAUAGAACACCAAUUGCGAAGGCAGCUUGCUAGAUCUAAAUUGACGCUGAGGCACGAAAGCGUGGGGAGCGAACAGG